rnacentral:rRNA from 1 species
CGCAGCCGCGGUAAUUCCAGCUCCAAUAGCGUAUAUUAAAGUUGCUGCAGUUAAAAAGCUCGUAGUUGAAUUUCGGGAUCAAUAUGUUGGUCGUGCCUCGGUACGUACUGGCUUAGUGGUUUCUCCCUUCUGACGAACCAUGAUGUCAUUUAUUUGGUGUUAUGGGGAAUCAGAACUGUUACUUUGAAAAAUUUAGAGUGUUUAAAAGCAGGCUCACGCUUGAAUACAUUAGCAUGGAAUAAUGAAAUAGGACGUUUUGAUUCUAUUUUGUUGGUUUCUAGGAUCGACGUAAUGAUUAAUAGGGAUAGUUGGGGGCAUUAGUAUUCAAUUGUCAGAGGUGAAAUUCUUGGAUUUAUUGAAGACUAACUACUGCGAAAAGCAUUUGCCAAGGAUGUUUUCAUUAAUCAAGAACGAAAGUUAGGGGGAUCGAAGACGAUCAGAUACCGUCGUAGUCUUAACCAUAAACUAUGCCGACUAGGGAUCGGAUGAUGUUGUAUUUUUUAAUGACUUCAAUUCGGUA